AACUUUUAUUCUGCAACCACAUUGAUUUUGACAGGACCAGCCAUUUUCACGUCUUCGACUGAUUCUGACUGGACCAUUAGGAAUAUUAACCAAUGAAACUAAGUUUAACAUUAGCGAUCACAAUGGCCGGUCUGGUCAGAAGUUGAUGUGGCAGCAGAAUAAAGGUUCAGUUUGGAGAGAAUAAUGACGUAUAUCUCCGCUAUUUCAAGACCUAUCAACUUAAAAUUCGGCACGAGUGUAUCUCAGACAUUACUUUUCUGAAAAAUACAUGCAUAUUGCGAUUGUUUUAAAUAUCAAUUGAUUUAUAAGGCUUUUGAAGAGUUCGACCCCUUUCUUUAUUUAUGGUUACAUUGAAAUUAAUGUUAAAACGGGCUUGGCCCCUGUGGAUUCAUAUUGUAUACUUAUGCAGCUAUGUAAUCAUGUACGUAAUUUUGUGUGUGUGUGUGUGUGUGUGUGUGUGUGUGUGUGUGUGUGUGUGUGUGUGUGUGUGUGUGUUAUUCCUUUAUUGACGUAUGUUCUUUUUACAUCUACACUAAAAUGAUGGACGACUGGCAUGUAUCGAUAUCCUCCCUACUUUUUGUUAUCACUAAUUUUGUGUCAUGGUCAUGCAAGUAAAGGUGACAAACAAUAAGAAGUUCCUGAGGGUCAAACAGGUGCAAUUACUACGUU
rnacentral:misc_RNA from 1 species